UACGGAGGGGGCGAGCGUUAUUCGGAAUUAUUGGGCGUAAAGGGCGCGUAGGCGGCCUUGUAAGUCAAAGGUGAAAUCCCUCGGCUCAACUGAGGAACUGCCUUUGAAACUGCAAGGCUUGAGGCCGGGAGGGGGUAGCGGAAUUCCCAAUGUAGCGGUGAAAUGCGUAGAUAUCGGGAGGAACACCAGUGGCGAAGGCGACUUCCUGGCCUGUUCUUGACGCUGAGGCGCGAAAGCUAGGGGAGCAAACGGG
rnacentral:rRNA from 1 species